AUUGAACGCUGGCGGAAUGCUUUACACAUGCAAGUCGAACGGCAGCAUAGGUGCUUGCACCUGAUGGCGAGUGGCGAACGGGUGAGUAAUACAUCGGAACGUGCCCAGUCGUGGGGGAUAACGUAGCGAAAGUUACGCUAAUACCGCAUACGAUCUAAGGAUGAAAGCGGGGGACCGUCAGGCCUCGCGCGAUUGGAGCGGCCGAUGUCAGAUUAGGUAGUUGGUGAGGUAAAGGCUCACCAAGCCGACGAUCUGUAGCUGGUCUGAGAGGACGACCAGCCACACUGGGACUGAGACACGGCCCAGACUCCUACGGGAGGCAGCAGUGGGGAAUUUUGGACAAUGGACGCAAGUCUGAUCCAGCCAUUCCGCGUGCAGGACGAAGGCCUUCGGGUUGUAAACUGCUUUUGUACGGAACGAAAAAGCUCUUACUAAUACUAGGAGUCCAUGACGGUACCGUAAGAAUAAGCACCGGCUAAUUACGUGCCAGCAGCCGCCGUAA
rnacentral:rRNA from 1 species